ensembl:snoRNA LOC120095770 small nucleolar RNA SNORA17
UCCAUUCCUAGAGGCAUUGAGGUGUGGCAGAAAGGACUCCCUCUAUGCUCAGUGUUCUGACCUGUGAACCUCUAAAUGAUUAGUAGCCUAACAUC